AUCAGAUAACUUUAUUCUUAAUGUUGGUCUCUUAGUUUGAGGAGGAGAGGCUGUAGUUUGGUGGUAGAGUAACUGCUUUGUAUGCAGAAGGCUCCAGGGGUAGGCUUGGGAGAAGGAAAAAAUCCUAGUGAACUCCUGCCAGUCAGUAUAGAAUAGAUGGACUAAAUGGCAUCGUUCAAUAUAAGAUUUCAAGAUCACAUACAGUCUGUCCAAAGAACAUGGAGUGCCAUAGAAGACUAUAUAUUUGUAAAACACUUUGGGAACUCUGAAGAUAAUACACUGUGGAUGUGUGGCUGACUGUGACCAGGGGAAGUGGGCAACCUUAGAUGGUGAAGAAGACCAGCACUUUGCGAGGGUGGUGGAAGAGAAGAUCAAGCCAGAAAAGGGAAGAAAAAAGAAAGCAGGCCUGGCAGUUUGAAUUGGGAGAAGAGGGCAAUUUGGGAAGAAACCUGGGAGAGCAAGAGUUUGGCUGCACCUUGUUCUCUGGGAAACUGAUGCAGGAUUAACAGCAAUGCUACCUUCUAAAAGAGUGUAUUU